ensembl:snoRNA
AAUUUCUUUUUUUAAAAAAAUCAAUAGUUUUGUGCUUGGUGUAUUUUUAGGGAGAGAGAGGAAGGCCCUCCUAAUGCAUGACAGACCUGCCCCAAAGUGGUUUUUCUGUUCCUAGGAGUAUGACAGCU